GUUGAGGUCUAUCCCAUUGGGGCUUUUUCUGUAGCCACACAUUGUUGGAAAUGCCUCAUACUCAUAGCAUAAUGUUGUGGUUUUGCUUUACCCACAGGACUAUUUGUUAGGUCUGUGGGAAAGAACUAUAAAACAAUU
ensembl:snoRNA